rnacentral:tRNA from 1 species
GUGUGGCUCAGUGGUAGAGUGCUUGCCUAGCAUGUGGGAGACCCUGGGUUCAAUCCCCAGCAC